rnacentral:sRNA from 1 species
UUAGUGAGGCCUCCUGACUGGCGCCGAUACUCUGGCAACAGAGCGCCGGAUGCCGGAAAGUUGGUCAAACUUGAUCAUUUAGAGGAAGUAAAAGUCGUAACAAGGUUUCCGUAGGUGAACCUGCGGAAGGAUCAUUACCGAUAAAAAUGUCCAAGAAAACAACUCCGUUGUUUGCCCUGUGAACCGUACCUAACCAUUUAGGGGUCGGCGUAGCCGUUAAAUGGCGAUCGGACGCGGCGUGCAGCAGCGCGUGGCGGCCGCCUCGCCAGCCCCGCCGGUGUUCCUCUUUUUUACAACGUACGCGUUUGUCGUCUGAUAUUGCGACCCCGACCGGGGCCGGAUAAGCACAAAAAGCGAGAGACAACUUUUGACGGUGGAUCUCUUGGCUCACGCAUCGAUGAAGAACGCAGCCAGCUGCGAUAAGUAGUGUGAAUUGCAGAAUUCAGUGAAUCAUCGAAUCUUUGAACGCAAAUGGCGCUCUUGGGUUCUCCCAGGAGCAUGUCUGUCUGAGUGUCGGAUAUCAUCCAUCGCGGGAGCGGGCGCCUUGCCCGCACCUGCGGCGUUGAGGCGUCACGGCCUCCGAGUCGGCCGUGUCCCUUGAAAGGCAGAGAGACUCGCUGCGGUCCGCGGGUACGUUCCCGCGCAGCAGCGGAGGCCAAAAGUAUUCACAGUCCUCCGCGCGCUGCCGGGUCCCCGGCGCGCGAGUCGCCCAGGCGAAAGUGCGUGUCCGCACCACCAUCUCUUGACCUCAGAUCAGGCAAG